rnacentral:rRNA from 1 species
UACGGGGGGAGCAAGCGUUGUUCGGAAUUACUGGGCGUAAAGGGCGCGUAGGCGGUUUGCUAAGUUGAAUGUGAAAACUCUGGGCUUAACCCAGAGCCUGCAUUCAAUACUGGCAGGCUAGAGUUCUGGAGGGGAUAGCGGAAUUCCUGGUGUAGCGGUGAAAUGCGUAGAUAUCAGGAGGAACACCGGUGGCGAAGGCGGCAUCCUGGACCGAGAUUGACGAUGAGGCGCGAAAGCUAGGGGAGCGAACGGG